rnacentral:rRNA from 1 species
UCGAGAAUCAUUCGCAAUGGGCGAAAGCCUGACGAUGCGACGCCGUGUGAGCGAAGAAGGCCUUCGGGUUGUAAAGCUCUUUCGCCUGGGAACAAGAGAGUCCGACGAAUAAUCGGAUGAUUUGAGUGUACCAGGUAAAGAAGCACCGGCUAACUCCGUGCCAGCAGCUGCGGUAAUACGGAGGGUGCAAGCAUUAAUCGGAUUUAUUGGGCGUAAAGGGCGCGUAGGCGGGAGUAUAAGUCAAAUGUGAAAUCCCGGGGCUCAACCCCGGAACGGCAUUUGAGACUGUGUUUCUUGAGGGUAGGCGGAGAAAAUGGAAUUCCACGUGUAGCGGUGAAAUGCGUAGAUAUGUGGAAGAACACCUGUGGCGAAAGCGGUUUUCUAGCUUAUACCUGACGCUGAGGCGCGAAAGCAAGGGGAUCAAACAGGAUUAGAUACCCGCGUAGUCC